rfam:Mesocricetus auratus contig072623, whole genome shotgun sequence.
CGGGAACCUGAGCCAUUAUCCUUUUCUGAACAAUGACGCCAUCAUUUUCUGGGUCUUCGGAGCAGUUGCGAAGAGAUGCCCAGAGGGGAGACGUCUAAACCAUCCGAAGGAAUUCAUGAAAGACAGUAACGUGCUUAAGACCUGACUUUUAAAGUGAAUGCCAGUGCGUGAUGAUCCCAGCUCCCUGUACAGUUCCUAGAGCUCCUGGGAGUGCAUUGAAUGCCAGUGCGUGACGAUCCCAGCUCCCUGUACAGUUCCUAGAGCUCCUGGGAGUGAAUGGCCAGUGACACAAGGCUUAACUGGUGUGUGAGAAUUGGAUGUAGUGAACAUCCAGAAAAGGCAGACAAAAGAAGAAAAUGCAGUGCUGGCUAGGUGUUGGAGAUGGGUCUUUAC